UUUAUGGAAGAACCUGGAUUAAC
rnacentral:piRNA from 1 species